ensembl:lncRNA
GGCUCCAGGGCCUGUGCGUCUAACCACCACUCUGUAUAAAGCUGCUGUUUCAGACCCACUGACGGACCCAAGGGGAAAGCCCAGCCUGUUGCUAACUCGACCUGGAGAGAACCAGGUGGGGCCCUUCACGUAUUGAUACUUCAUUAAUCUGCACAAUUAAGCCUCCAGACCUGUGAAGGAACACAUUUCUGCUGUUUGAAGGCCCCAGGGAUGCGGUGGUUCUUUAAGGCGGAGCCCUAGGAAGCUGAUGCUGCAGGUACAGAACAAAGUGGCGACAACACUGGUUGAGACUGGAACCCGUGGAGAUUGUGGUUCUCAAACAGUUAUAUCUACCUGGCUUGUCACGGUCCCAAGGAAGCGAUUUGCCCAGAUGACUUAAGGAUAUUGAGAAGCAGUGUCAUCUCUGAACAGCUGACUCACACCGGAAUCUUGUGUUCAACCAGAUGAGUCAGCAGCCAUUGGGCUAUGGGACUGUGCUGGGGGCCUGCCUGCAUCCCUGGGGCACUUCGGAGAUCUGAGCCCCAUGUCUGGCCUCAGGAGACAAAAGCAUGAAUGAACAAGCAGCCCCACAAAUACGAAGAGAAAUCGCACACACAGCCAAUCUUGGCUUGGCAGCUUUUUUUUUCUAGGACACGUGUGUUUGUGGUUGCGUAUUAUACUGCACACAUUAAUAUAGUCAUAUUUUCUGCUAGUAAAAUUGUUGCUGGCUCAUAUAAUGGGAUUAAAUAUGUCAGUAUUUCAUGGCGUUCCGCAAAGAGCCCCAUCGCUUCCAGGCGCUCAGCCACACGGACAAGUUUGAGAACCACUGAUCUAUAAUAAAGGGCAAAAUCAUUGAACACACAAGUAAGCAGGAUGUUUGAAAGAAGCCCUUUGUCACUAAUCCAUCAGUAUUCUGGGAGGUGGAAACUGAAUAUGAGUAUAGGCAAACUGAUAAAUGUAAGUUAUUUACAUUUUUCAAACAGUAUUUGAUUAGACGUCAUGUCUAAUAGACAUGAUGUGAUACCCUCUUAAAGAUCUCUUUUGGCCUUCAGAGCCAAACCAGAAAAUCAGUCUCAUUGUUUCAGGAGCCAAACACAGCCUCAUCAUCUCCCGGCCAUGCUUCGAUUUGUCCGUCCCAGCCUGUCCAUGCAAAUAGGUGCUGUAUGCACACAACCCACAUCACAGAUGCUGGUCCCUGGCCCGCAGUCCAUGCACCCCACCUCUCAUCAGUUAAUUUGGGGAGCACCCUCCAGAGAAGGAAGUAUCCUGGGAUCAGGGCCAUUGUCUCCCUGACCUGAAUUGCAUUGCGCUUUGCUAUCAGAUAAAACCCAGAAAAGGGACCGAGAGGCCCUGCAGUUAUUUAUGAGAAGACGUUCAGCAAAGGCCAAGAAGCCUAGACACUGACUGGCCUUCUGCCAGAAAACAUUGUUCUCCCUCCGAACCCAGCAGUGGCCUCACCACCAUGGACGGCAGCAUGUGCCAAGGUCACUGGACACCCCCACAUCAGAGUCAGUUCAGGGAAAUUUCCAGAAGACCAAUGGGGUGGGGAUGUGGGAUGAGAAGGCAUAAAAAUAAAAAAGAAUAAUUGAAUUAUACGAAUAAUAAAAUUCUUUUAAUAAAAAUAUUGUAAUAUCAGAUGAGGAUGAGAAAGAAGAAAAUGGUUUAGAAAAAGCAAGGGAUACACUUUUGACCUAAAAGGAGUGACUCGAAAUCAGACAAACAACACUCCUUUAUAGCCUGGAGUAGAUUAUAAGAAAGCAUACACAGAAAAC